rnacentral:rRNA from 1 species
AAUUCGACGCAACGCGAAGAACCUUACCUGGGCUCGAAAUGCUACGGACCAGCUUAUGAAAGUAGGCCUUCCCGCAAGGGACCGUAGUAUAGGUGCCGCAUGGCUGUCGUCAGCUCGUGUCGUGAGAUGUUGGGUUAAGUCCCGCAACGAGCGCAACCCUUGUCCUGUGUUGCCAUACUGUAAAAAGUGGAACUCGCAGGAGACCGCCAGGGAUAACCUGGAGGAAGGUGGGGAUGACGUCAAGUCCUCAUGGCCUUUAUGUCCAGGGCUACACACGUGCUACAAUGGACGGUACAAAGGGCUGCCAACCCGCGAGGGGGAGCCAAUCCCAAAAAACCGUUCUCAGUUCGGAUUGCAGGCUGCAACUCGCCUGCAUGAAGCUGGAAUCGCUAGUAAUGGCGGAUCAGAACGCCGCCGUGAAUACGUUCCCGGGCCUUGU